GGCGAGGUGGCGGGGCGCAGGCUCUGGAUUUCCACCUCGUGACUGGGAACCCCAGCCCGGCCCGUCACUAGCGGUGUGACUGCAGAUGAGAAACGGAGGCACGGAGAUCCAGUCGCACCACCGGCAUGUGGCAGAGCACAUCUGACCCGGCCUGUUGGGCCCCCAAGUCCUGUUCAUUACCACUACACUCCGCUCCCCAAUCUGCCAUCCGUGGCUCCCCCCCAAGUCGGCCUCACCCCUCCAAGGCCUCUCUUCUUCAGAGAAUUUUACCCAGCCCCUCCAACCCAGAUUCAUCUUCAGCAUCUGCUCCCAACACUAGGACCUGCCAGCAGACUUCCCACUUGUGUCCUAGGCCCGGGGUCCCCGGAGUCACACUGAGCUCCUCCAAAGCUGGGACAACUAACUUGUCUUCAGCCCCACAGGGACUCUGGUCCUGAAUCAGGCAGCCCCUGCCCCCGGCAGAAUCGUCUAUUGCUCCUGCUGGCCCUGACUUUUGAGGAAGACAUCCAGAACUUUCCUUCGCCUAGAAUCUCCUCCCUCUUCUCCAAGCCCAGGGUCCUUGCCCUGAGUGGUUGGGGUCAGAAUCCAAGCCUUGUGGGCACAUCACACCAGGACUGGA